GAGUACGUUGUAGAUCUCGAAGAGGGCUCUCAGCAUCUAAUGCGGUAUCGAACUAUAGCACCACUUGUCUCGACUGGAGCCGUGCGGUUAAUUUAAAAUGGAGGUUGCUGCUUGUGUGGAUGCUUUUGGUUCCAGUUGGUCAGAAAGAAAGCUAUCUUCGUAACAGCAAUGAUGUGAAAGGAGCACAUUAACUUGGAGAGAUUACAUCUGGAAGUGCAGCCAUCUCUCUUUCGCUGUAGUCAGGAUUAAGGACUUACUUGUGGGACUCAAACACAGACAUUUGUGGCACCAUGUCCCCAAGACACCUGGGAAGAAACAGCUGACAUAAGGCCAUUGCUGGUGUUAAAGUGCUUGCUGAUGUAUGAUGCCUGUUCGCCAGAGCAGCGUUUGCAGUGUGUGGUGUUAUUUUUGUACUUUUUUUAAUCAUGUCACAACAAGUUUGGUUACAUAACUGUAAUGUAUUCUGGUGUGUUGGUGAGGCUGGUUAAGAUUAUCUAAUGCUAA